UGUGCAAGGAUGAUAAAACAGACAGGGACAUCAGAACCCUUUAACGGAUGAUGAGUUGUCUAUCAAUGGGAAUCUCUCUGAUGCACU